rnacentral:rRNA from 1 species
AUGGUUCCACAAAUUCCUUGCUGGAGAUGGCGCAUAGGUCUGCAUUACAGCCUUGAAACUUGCCUCCUCUUCAUCCGUCCAAGAAAGGGCAACCUCCUCGCCCAUACGGUCAAAUCCCCACUGGUAGAAAGCAGAGCCGAGUUCACGUCUCAGCUGAAGCCGCCUUUCUGCAAUGUGAAACCUGACACAUUCUACUGA